rnacentral:sRNA from 1 species
AUAACGAGAUGGGAAGCGGCUGGCUUCCCGUGUAUGAUGAACCCGCAAGGCGCGCAGCCCUGAGGGUUCAUUUUU